UCCCGGGGAAGUGGGUUCGAACCCCGCCACGGCAGGUGGUGGAAGUUGAGUUCGAGACGGUGAAUCCGUUGCCGAUUGUCAGGAAAAACCCAUCUGGUUCACUAAUGUCCCCGAGGGCAGGAGACUGCCAUCCUCACCUGGUCUGACCUACAUGUGACUCCAGACCCACAGCAAUGUGGUUGACUCUGAACUGCCCCCUGGGCAAUUAGGGAUGGGGCAGUAAAUGCUGCCCUGGCCAGUGACCAGCUCAUCCUGUGAAUGGAUUUCUUUAAAAAAGGGGAUGAGUGGUGACUAACUGAGGUUAAUGGAUGAUUAAUUCGGGUUGUGUGUGAUUGGAGCGGGUUAUUACUCACUCUGUGUGUGUGAGGGACCAGGCCCAGGCCCCGCUCACUGUCCCCGGGCUCACAGCCGCUAGGGGGGGGGCGGCUCCUGAAGCGCUGUCUCGGCCCCGGGGGAUGUGGAGCUUCGCCAGGAGAGCCGCUCGCUCGGUGCCGCUGUCCCGGCGCCUGGGCCCGAGGCCGCAGAAUCCGCGGACUGCCGCUGGUGAGAGACCGCCCGGGCCCGGCGGCGGGAGGCCUGAGGAUCCGGGCCGCAGUAAGGUGCCUCAGACUCCAUCCUGGCAGCCUGCAGAGGUCAGCGAGCUUCCAGAGGUUACCAUGGAGAUGAUUGACCACCUGGAACGAUUGGCACUUGUUGAUUUUCGGAACCAGGAGGGUAUAGAAAGGCUAGCAAAUGCCAUACAGUUUGCCAACCAGCUGCAUGCUGUUGACACUGAGGGAGUGGAGCCCAUGGAUUCAGUGCUGGAGGACAGGCCAUUGUAUCUGCGUGCAGACACGGUCACGGAAGGUUACUGUGCAGAUGCAAUCCUGAGCAAUGUGAAACAGGUUGUAGAGGGAUACCUUGUCGCACCUCCAGCCAACCUGUGGAGGAUGUUGUGACACACAUCUGCAGUACAUGGGAUUUGAACCUGGGCCUGCAACAGCAUAGCGACGUCACCACUGCUCCCAAGAGCCCCCCGCUCCUCAGGCUUCUCUCCUGGGCUGUGACAUCUUCAGCUAUUCCAUCAAUGACCUUUCCUACAUCUUAAGGGAAUAUUCCACUGCCAAAGAAGGAAGAGAGAGACAGCUUCAUUCAGCAUUCUAACUGGUGAUGAUGACAGAGGAAAUUUUGGAAUUAACAAUUUCAAAAUGGACACUUGUGGUGAGGAAUUCCACUUUCUUGCAGACAACUUGACAUCACGGAACUUGCAUCUGCUGCAGUGAAGAUUCAAAUGCACCAGAUUGGUCAAGUGAAGCAGUUUUUCACAUCAAAUGGUAGUGCCAAAGAAGUGAAAUUCAGUGGUGUAGAUUAUUUCUCUAUCAACUUGUGGUUUGUUGUUUUUGUUUAAAUUUAAUUGAAUAGAAAAAAUGUUGAUUUUAUUUGAAUAUUGAGAUAUGCAUUCUCGUCUUUGAAGCAGAAAUUCAUGGUUUUGCCUCCUACUUCAGGAAUCUGUGCAUAAUCUAGGGUGAUAUUUCAUGUGGAGUAUUAAGGGAAUAUUGCAUUCUUGGAAAUGCCACCUUUCAAGAUAAGAAAUUAAGCCAGUUGAAUAAACAUUAUUUAGUCUCA